rnacentral:lncRNA from 1 species
CAGAGCUUGUUUGUUCCUCCAGAUGUAAUAGUGCUCCUCUGGUCCUUGCCUUCUCCAGGCACUGGAAGCUGAAUUGAAGAAACUUCAAGCUUCCAUCCAGGAAACAACACAAAGUUUUGAUGAGACUAUGUGCAAACUCUUUGAAAGGAAAGUGAAUUCAGAGAUGGUCAUCUAUCAGGAAGAACUCAAAAUAGUCAAUAUCCUUUAUUCUUUGCUGUUGGAUGAAGAGUUGGACACUAGAGAAGCUGGACUUCAUCAUUUGCUUAGGAAGAAGCGGAAAGAGAAAGUAAAGUCUACAAAAACAAUCCAGUGUACAAACAGGAAAAUUGAUGCUUACACAGACACCUAUGAAAAUGCAAUUGCUG